CUGAGGCCUCAUUGCAGGAGCAGAGAUAACAGGAGAGAUGGGAAUGGCUUGCUCUAGACCGGACAGUGAGUCCAGGAACUAAGUCAGCCCCGCCCUUGGGGUGCGGAAUAGCCUAGAGCUCAUCUGGGUGACAAGCCUUUCCUCCUCUCUUGCCUGGGCAUUCUAGAUGUUUCCUCUGCAGCUCCGUUGCCCCAGACAGAGCUAUCAGGGAGGCGGCCGGCAUGGACACCUGCUCAGAAGACCCCCACCUGCGCGGGGCCUCUUGGCUCCUGGGAUUCACCAGCCUUCUCCUCAGUGUCUGCGGCGUUCUGACCCAGAGCUCUGGAGUCCAUGCUUCUGGAGUGGAGGAUUCUGGAAUCCCUGUUUCUCUGAAGGGGAUGCGAGGAACUUCUGUGUCGUUUCAUGUGAUCAGAAAACCAGAAUUACCCCCAGAAGGCGAGCUGGAGAAGAUUUCAUGGGGCAUUGUAUACGGGUCAAACUACAGAGUCAUGCUGAAUGUCCUUCCUGGGAGGAAUGUUCCAGAAUGGCUCAACUUCCAAGACAAAUUCAAGACAAGGGUCCAUAUGCCCAACAUAACAACCCUGUUGGUGGACAACCUGACCCUUGAGGACAGUGGGCUGUACCGGGCUCGAGAGUCCUACACGAGAGGAAGACAGUAUGACCAGGAUUUCCACCUGACAGUCUAUGAGCCUGUGCCCCUUCCCCAGAUCCGGGCCACGGUUCCGUCCCUCACACCAGGCUCGUGCAACGUCACCGUGGAGUGUGACACCACGCAAACCAGGGAGAACCUGACCGUGUCCUGGGAGAGCCAGGGCCUCCCCAGAGAGCUGGAGCAGAGACCGGCCCCACGACCAGCCCCCAACCCCUGGACACUGGCUUUGACCCUGCCCCUUAGCCAGCCCAGUGCCAGCCUCACCUGUGUCGUCAGAAACCAGGUAGACCAGAAAACUGCCACUUGGUACCUUGGGGACGUCUGUGGCCACGGACAGACCACUGCUGACCCCCUGCCAGGCAUCCUGGUGGCUGCUGCGAUCGUGCUGCUGAUCCUGGGAGCUGGGCUGUACCUUUGGAAGAGAUGUGGGGAGAAGAAGAACGUGGACUCUGGGAGAGGUGCGGGAUCGCAGAAGAAGCACAGGGACCCGGAUGGUGACAUCCUCUAUGCAGAGCAGAGCCAGCGGGAGUCUGGAGACAGGAGGGAUAAGGGUAGGGGUGCCCCUGAUCUAGAAGAGGAGAAGCCUCUCACCACUGUCUACAGUGAGGUCCGCAGGCCAGGCCAGGCCACAGUUACGAUUUAA
ensembl:lncRNA SLAM family member 8-like